rnacentral:rRNA from 1 species
AUACGGAGGAUGCAAGCGUUAUCCGGAUUUAUUGGGUUUAAAGGGUGCGUAGGCUGACGUGUAAGUCAGAGGUGAAAUCUCCGGGCUCAACCUGGGAACUGCCUUUGAUACUGCAUGUCUGGAGUUCGGAUGCCGUGGGAGGAAUGGGCAGUGUAGCGGUGAAAUGCAUAGAUAUUGCCCAGAACACCGAUUGCGAAGGCAUCUCACGAAUCCGACACUGACGCUGAGGCACGAAAGCGUGGGGAUCAAACAGGAUUAGAUACCCUGGUAGUCCACGCAGUAAACGAUGAUAACUAACCGUCGGCGAUAGACAGUCGGUGGCCAAGCGAAAGCGAUAAGUUAUCCACCUGGGGAGUACGUUCGCAAGAAUGAAACUCAAAUGAAUUGGCGGGG